AGUAACGCGUGGGUAACCUGCCCUUAAGUCUGGGAUACCAUUUGGAAACAGAUGCUAAUACCGGAUAAAAGCUACUUUCGCAUGAAAGAAGUUUAAAAGGCGGCGUAAGCUGUCGCUAAAGGAUGGACCUGCGAUGCAUUAGCUAGUUGGUAAGGUAACGGCUUACCAAGGCGAUGAUGCAUAGCCGAGUUGAGAGACUGAUCGGCCACAUUGGGACUGAGACACGGCCCAAACUCCUACGGGAGGCAGCAGCC
rnacentral:rRNA from 1 species